AACGAACGCUGGCGGCAUGCCUAACACAUGCAAGUCGAACGAUGGUCUUCGGAUCAUAGUGGCGCACGGGUGCGUAACGCGUGGGAAUCUGCCCUUGGGUUCGGAAUAACAGUUGGAAACGACUGCUAAUACCGGAUGAUGUCGAUAAGACCAAAGAUUUAUCGCCCGAGGAUGAGCCCGCGUCGGAUUAGCUAGUUGGUGGGGUAAAGGCCUACCAAGGCGACGAUCCGUAGCUGGUCUGAGAGGAUGAUCAGCCACACUGGGACUGAGACACGGCCCAGACCCCUACGGGAGGCAGCAGUGGGGAAUAUUGGACAAUGGGCGCAAGCCUGAUCCAGCAAUGCCGCGUGAGUGAUGAAGGCCUUAGGGUUGUAAAGCUCUUUUACCCGGGAAGAUAAUGACUGUACCGGGAGAAUAAGCCCCGGCUAACUCCGUG
rnacentral:rRNA from 1 species